rnacentral:rRNA from 1 species
GAUGAACGCUGGCGGCGUGCCUAAUACAUACAAGUCGAGCGAACGGACGAGAAGCUUGCUUCUCUGAUGUUAGCGGCGGACGGGUGAGUAACACGUGGAUAACCUACCUAUAAGACUGGGAUAACUUCGGGAAACCGGAGCUAAUACCGGAUGAUAUUUUGAACCGCAUGGUUCAAAAGUGAAAGACGGUCUUGCUGUCACUUAUAGAUGGAUCCGCGCUGCAUUAGCUAGUUGGUAAGGUAACGGCUUACCAAGGCAACGAUGCAUAGCCGACCUGAGAGGGUGAUCGGCCACACUGGAACUGAGACACGGUCCAGACUCCUACGGGAGGCAGCAGUAGGGAGUCUUCCGCAAUGGGCGAAAGCCUGACGGAGCAACGCCGCGUGAGUGAUGAAGGUCUUCGGAUCGUAAAACUCUGUUAUUAGGGAAGAACAUAUGUGUAAGUAACUGUGCACAUCUUGACGGUACCUAAUCAGAAAGCCACGGCUAACUACGUGCCAGCAGCCGCGGUAAUACGUAGGUGGCAAGCGUUAUCCGGAAUUAUUGGGCGUAAAGCGCGCGUAGGCGGUUUUUUAAGUCUGAUGUGAAAGCCCACGGCUCAACCGUGGAGGGUCAUUGGAAACUGGAAAACUUGAGUGCAGAAGAGGAAAGUGGAAUUCCAUGUGUAGCGGUGAAAUGCGCAGAGAUAUGGAGGAACACCAGUGGCGAAGGCGACUUUCUGGUCUGUAACUGACGCUGAUGUGCGAAAGCGUGGGGAUCAAACAGGAUUAGAUACCCUGGUAGUCCACGCCGUAAACGAUGAGUGCUAAGUGUUAGGGGGUUUCCGCCCCUUAGUGCUGCAGCUAACGCAUUAAGCACUCCGCCUGGGGAGUACGACCGCAAGGUUGAAACUCAAAGGAAUUGACGGGGACCCGCACAAGCGGUGGAGCAUGUGGUUUAAUUCGAAGCAACGCGAAGAACCUUACCAAAUCUUGACAUCCUUUGACAACUCUAGAGAUAGAGCCUUCCCCUUCGGGGGACAAAGUGACAGGUGGUGCAUGGUUGUCGUCAGCUCGUGUCGUGAGAUGUUGGGUUAAGUCCCGCAACGAGCGCAACCCUUAAGCUUAGUUGCCAUCAUUAAGUUGGGCACUCUAAGUUGACUGCCGGUGACAAACCGGAGGAAGGUGGGGAUGACGUCAAAUCAUCAUGCCCCUUAUGAUUUGGGCUACACACGUGCUACAAUGGACAAUACAAAGGGCAGCGAAACCGCGAGGUCAAGCAAAUCCCAUAAAGUUGUUCUCAGUUCGGAUUGUAGUCUGCAACUCGACUACAUGAAGCUGGAAUCGCUAGUAAUCGUAGAUCAGCAUGCUACGGUGAAUACGUUCCCGGGUCU